rnacentral:tRNA from 1 species
UGCGCGGUGGAUGUAACGGCAACACGGGGGCCUCAUAAGCCCCUAACUCCAGGUUCGAAUCCUGGCUGCGCAACCA